rnacentral:rRNA from 1 species
UACGGAGGGUGCAAGCGUUAAUCGGAAUUACUGGGCGUAAAGGGUGCGUAGGUGGUUAUGUAAGUCAGAUGUGAAAGCCCCGGGCUCAACCUGGGAAUUGCAUUUGAGACUGAAUAGCUAGGGUGCGGUAGAGGGAAGCGGAAUUUCCGGUGUAGCGGUGAAAUGCGUAGAUAUCGGAAGGAACAUCAGUGGCGAAAGCGGCUUCCUGGACCAGCACCGACGUUCAGGCACGAAAGCGUGGGGAGCAAACGGG